AGAUCUGACCAGGAAAGGAAUUCUGCCUGCCAGACAAAGACUUGACAGCAUUUGUGGUGAAAUAAUCUGCUCUGUUUGGAGACUGGAGGAAAAAUCCUUUCUGUACAGCUGUUGCAACAUUUCUUGAAACCUGGUGACCCCCAUCUCCACAUGCCCAGCUCCUAGAAGAUGUUUACCUUCGGGAAUAUGCUUGGCAACUAAUGAAUAUUUGUCUAAAAUACUGCAUUCUGGAUUUCGUCUGCCAGACUCUGAUUUUUGUCUUCAUAAAUCUUUGUGACGACACCAAAUAAAACAUUAGACCCUCGAUUGCUAUCAGGCAAGUGGGAGAGUUGUUCUAAGUGGACGUGUAGAUCCCUGAUGUCCAAGUAAAAUUGGUUUUGGUCUCAGGGUACGUGCAACGAAAUUGUGCUGCUCUCUCCCAGCACGGUGGAAUUAAAAAUGAAGAAACCUGAAGUGCCAU